AGCCAACGCUGGCGGCUGUCCUAACACAUGCAAGUCGAACGGACCUUUGGGGGUUAGUGGUGGACGGGUGAGUAACACGUGGGAACGUGCCUUUAGGUUCGGCAUAGCUCCUGGAAACGGGUGGUAAUGCCGAAUGCGCCCUUAGGGGGAAAGAUUUAUCGCCUUUAGAGCGGCCCGCGUCUGAUUAGCUAGUUGGUUAGGUUAUGGCUCACCAAGGCUACGAUCAGUAGCUGGUCUGAGAGGAUGACCAGCCACAUUGAGACUGAGACACGGCCCAAACUCCUGCGGGAGGCAGCAGUGGGGAAUCUUGCGCAAUGGGAGAAAGCCUGACGCAGCCAUGCCGUGUGGAUGAUGAAGGUCUUAGGAUUGUAAAAACCUUUCACCGGUGAAGAUAAUGACUGUAAACGGAGAAGAAGCCCCGGCUAACUUCGUGCCAGCCGCCGCCGCAG
rnacentral:rRNA from 1 species